CACUUCUCAUCGGUCUUGCUGUCUUAACUAAGAGGAUAUGCUGCUUGGGCGAUCUAGUUCAUUCAAAAGUUCUAAAAGAACUAGCCUACACUGCGUGGUUGUAGCUCCUACACUAAAAGCCUCACUGUCAGUGAUAAGUUGAAACAAGAUACAGUAUGCAAAAAAAGAUAGAACAUACAAGUCCCGAAGUUGUCUGAUUUGCUACAAUCUCAAUUAUAUUUAAACUUCACUUGUUGAAAGCUGAUGUCACUUGCUGAUACUCACUCCUUAGUGCCACUCUGCUCUUCAAUUCGUUGGGUUGAUAUCUUGGAAAACAUCAAAAGCUAAUGGCAAUGGCAUCUGGAUUUGAAGUGUGGUGGUCAAUAGAGAAAUCAGUGCUGCAUACAUAUAAGACUCCAAUCUGGAAAAUAGGUGAGCUCAUCUGCUGUGACAAUAGAAUGAGUUCUCGAAGACCUGACUUAGAUACUAAAGCCUCGUAUAUGCAGUAGUACGCACUCGGCCCAACAUUUCUCAAGCUGUCAGUGUCAACGUGGAACCUAGUCCUUAUAUGCAGGAUUAGGAUAAAGGUCAUUGACAAGUUGUUAAAUGGAUCUUGAGAUGUAUUUUGGGAAUGCUGAUUUGGGUUUGAAUUUUGGGAGAUAUGAAUCUGUGGGAAGACACUUAGCUAGAUAUGUUGAUUCAGACUAUGUUGGAGAUCUAGAUAAUCUUUGUUUUACUACAAAGCUAGAGGUUGACCUCCGGUGAGUCGGAGGUCGAUACUGCAAUCAAAUAUUGCAUGGUCAACCAGUGAAGUUGAAUACAUGGCUAUGAUUGAAAGCUACCAAGGAGGUUAUUUGGCCACACAAUUUGAUUGAAGACUUCGGGAAUCAUCUGGAGCAUGAUCUUGAAAUUCAACAUAACUAGGAGUUCAAUUUGACUUUGACAACUUUUAUAUAUAUGUUACUUUAGGAAAAGAGAGGGCUGCAGUGCUGUGCAAAAAUUAGAGUAGAAAAACUUCUCUUUAGUUGAAGCUUUAAAUUUUGUAUUUCUCAGAGUUUCUAGGGGUGUAUUUGGGGUUUGGGUUUUGUGAAAGUGACUUUGUGCCUUUUUUGUAAUCUCCAUAAUUGAUUAGGGAAAUUUUCUCCACACAAUCAUCCAUGGAUGUAGGCUAUUGCUAAUCGACGUAAAUCCUUGUUGUUUAUGUGAAUGUCUAUUUUUCUUCUA